AGUGAACGCUGGCGGUAGGCCUAACACAUGCAAGUCGAACGGCAGCACAGUAAGAGCUUGCCCUUACGGGUGGCGAGUGGUGGACGGGUGAGGAAUACAGCGGAACAUACUUUUUAGUGGGGGAUAACGAAGGGAAACGUACGCUAAUACCGCAUACGACCUACGGGUGAAAGCAGGGGAUCUUCGGACCUUGCGCGAUUGAAUGAGCCGAUGCCGGAUUAGCGAGUUGGCGGGGUAAAGGCCCACUAAGGCGACGAUCCGUAGCUGGUCUGAGAGGAUGAUCGUCCACACUGGAACAGAGACACGGUCCAGACUCCUACGGGAGGCAGCAGUGGAGAAUAUUGGACAAUGGGCGCAAGCCUGAUCCAGCCAUACCGCAUGGGUGAAGAAGGCCUUCGGGUUUUAAAGCCCUUUUGUUAGGAAAGAAGAGCAUCUUUUUAAUACCCCGCUAUUCUGACGGUACCCAAAGAAUAAGCACCGGCUAACUUCGUG
rnacentral:rRNA from 1 species